CGAACGGGUGAGUAAUGCGUGACCAACCUGCCCCAUGCUCCAGAAUAGCUCUUGGAAACGGGUGGUAAUGCUGGGUGCUCCAACUUGACGCAUGUCUUGUUGGGAAAGUGUUUAGUGGCAUGGGAUGGGGUCGCGUCUUAUCAGCUUGUAGGCGGGGUAAUGGCCCACCUAGGCUUCGACGGGUAGCCGGCCUGAGAGGGCGGACGGCCACAUUGGGACUGAGAUACGGCCCAGACUCCUACGGGAGGCAGCAGUC
rnacentral:rRNA from 1 species